UUCAUUCCCAAACUAGACACUGAACCCCCAGUGGAACUGUGAAGAUAUUGCACGUGUUCUCAGCGAUCAGAGCAGAAGAGAUCCAACAGUGGGGUGAGGUGAGGCAGCAAAGAAAAUAGCUGCUGUGUGCACUGCUGCAUAAACUGCUGCAAGGACUCCCCGGAAGAAGCCUGAGGUUACUCCCCCUGCUGCAUGUGUGGCUCCGUCCUCUGUCUUCCAGAGGCGCUGAGGCCAAGAGGGCCUGUGGUAGUCUGGUUUAUACAUCAACAAAAAAGGGAGAAAUGAAAGGGAGAAUGGAAAUUAAUGUUUUAGGUGUUUACUAUGUACCACAUACUAGUAGUAACAGCAGGAUUUAAUGUCCAAAAGCCAUUUUCUGACCUCAAAGCCCAUUUUUACCCCUCUACCACACCAAUUCCCUGGAAUUUACUAAUAGAUCUGACAAUUAUUGAAUUGUACUAGCUCUGUAAUUUUUGGGCAAAUCUCUCUAAGCUUCAGUUUGCUCAACUGUAAAAUGGGAGUAAUGAUAAUGAUUAUCUCACAGGGCUUGUAGAUUAAAUAAUUUAAUUUGCUGAGCAUCGUGCCUAACAAAUAGGAAGUCAGCCAAUCUUUCUACGACACUGGCAGGGUAAGGUAUGUCACAUUUUACAUUUGUCUAAAUGAAAUUAAAUCUUGAGUUAACAUCUACAUGACAAGGUUAACUAUGUUUCCAAUAUCAGUAAAAUUUGAGGCAUCACUCUUCUAUCGUAUGGAAAGAAGUUCCAGAGUUUGUUCAGUUAAAAAACAAAAAAGCUAAAGGGCACAGUCUUCUAUUUCUGUUGGCCAUGAUGCCAUGGCUCCUCGUAUUAUACAAUGCCCUGGCACAGCUGAGGCUGCAGGAAGGCCAUGUUCUCAGCCUCAGCCAUGGGAAUGUCACUGGAGUGCACAAGACCAAGGUUCCAAGUUUACAGCCCACACAGUCACUCAAGUAAUUGUCCCCAUCAGAGUUCCUGCCAGCUCAGGGCUUCUAUGAGCCAGAGGGACCCAAGUGUUGGAGGAGAUCAUCGAGAGGACAUGACUGCUGGUUGACCCACGAGUUGGACCCAGGUAAUCUGAUGCUUCUUGCCCCUUCCCCUGUCCUUGGAA